CAGAUACACUGAUGAUAACAUAGUUCAGCAGAGUUUAUUGUGAUGAACAGAGUUUUGUCUUUCGCUCCUAUCUGAUGUAUCUU
rnacentral:snoRNA from 1 species